GGGAAAUUAGUUAAGUGAUAUAAUGGCCUCUGGUGCUGAGGGCGUCUCCUGUUCGACUCAGGAAUUUCCCGCCA
rnacentral:tRNA from 1 species